CUGCGACGAGGGGGGUACGACCCGUCUCCGGGAAUUGAAAACGUUUUAUCGACAUCACCACACACACACGCGCGCACAUGGAAUAAGGGAGCGGCGAGAGAGAGAGAGUGUGGUAGAAGAGAGCAGGUAAGUGGAAGGCAAAACCCCAGAACCCAGCGCGUGCGAGCAAGAGAGAGCGAGUAACAGUAAAACGACGCAGCCAACACACACAACAGCGCACGAAAUGGGAAAAGAGGAAGAAACAGCGGGGAGCUCUCGUUGCACACUCACACACUGAUGCAGGCGCUGCUGGGCCCGUCAUGGUUGAACGCGUGAGCGUUCUUUCUGCUCUUUCUUUCUCUCGCUCUGCGUUCAAGCGAAUGGCGACGCGCACGGUGACUGGCUGCGUACGUGCGGGAAGGAACGGCGCUUUUUGCUUGCCUGGCUGUGCUUGGUAAUUGUGUGCGACGACGACGACGGUGGUUGCGGCGACGUUUGUUGACAUUAUGUCAUUUUCCCUUGAUCUCCCUGCGCUGUAUUUUUUGUUGCUUCUCUUCUUCCUGAUACUUCUUCCAGAUGACUUUUGAAGGGUAAUUAAAAAAUGUUGAGGCGCCCCUGCCGCCUCCACCCGCCCCAUGUAGGAGAGGACAUUUAUUUAAAUUUUCCCAUGCAGCAUUUGAUGGAUUGCUACGGGUGUGUGUGCGUGUAUGGAUAUAUGAUUUCGGUACGGAUAAGCCCCAACACCCGCAUGCACAUACGUGUGUGUGUGUGUGUGUGAGGUGCUCCCUUCACCACUCUCUUUCUCUCUUCUGCAGGGGCACGCGCGCGCGUGUGUGUGUGGGUAGCGGGGACACACGGUAUUGAAUUUUUCGCGGGGAGCGUGCGUUUCGACAAAAUGUCGGCCGCUUGCGCACUGACGCAAGUGGUGGUGGUGGUGGUGAGCAGCCGCUGUACGCGUACAAAUGAAAAUACAUAAAAAAACGCCGACAUAAAAACGGAAGAAAAUCAUGUAAAUUUUACAUUUGCUGCACCUCUCCUCACCCGCCCCCCUCCCCAAACUCUGGGUUGGUGGCGAGCACGCGAUUAUUGCUCAUCAAUAUACCGGCCGGGCAGGCCCUACCGCACGGCGGUGAAGGUUAUCAAGGCAUUUGUUGUUGAAUUUUUAAUAUGCCGGUUGCCGUCGCCGUCGUCGCUAGUUGUUUCCCGGGCGUUUGCUCGGUUGCGGUUUUCGGCCGAACGGGGAGCUCUUUGUAUGCCAAGAAAAAAAGAGGGGGACCCUCUCUUUCAUCCCACACACCACACCACCAGUCACGCACACACACACACACACAGUGAGAAAAUCCAUUUUUUUCACUUUCUGUUUGUGUGUGUGUGUGCGUGAUGCGGCACGGGGUGUGAAACGGAGGGUAUGCACACGCACACCACCACACAACGCGUCGCCUACCUCAUACACCCUUCCUCGCACACACACACACACACAUAGCCAUGAGCAAAAAAAAAAUACAGAAACAACAACAACAAAAAACUCCAUCCAAGCAAACGCGUUUUGCAAAUUUUCUCUCUUGUUCUCUUUUUUUCACAUGAUCUGCUUUCUCUCCAUUGCGGUGAAUCGAACCGGCUUUCAAUUAUUGCAGAAUUUCAGUUUUUUUUCUUACGAAAAAGAGCAGUAAGGCGUUUUUGUUUUGACUAAAAGUGUGUUUUUCUGUAUUUUUUGUUUUUUUUUUUGUUGUAAAAAAUGAUACAAAAAGCGUGUUGAUGUCACUACACACCUAACCUUGUAGCUUUUUUCUUCUUCCUUUCGGCGCCGAAACACCGUCACCCUCCCGCACAGACCGUCUGUUCUCGCUGUGUAACGCUUGCGCAAUUUAAACCGUUCGGCCACGUGCAGUUGACCGUUACAAGGAGCAACAAAAGCAUUUGCAAAACCCGAACAAAAAAGGACAUUCAGCACGGGUUGAAACAGAAGAAACAAUUUGUCACCGACCCCAUACACCAUGGCCAUGUGGUUCUGAAGCAUUUUGGGAAAAAAAGCAACAGCAACAAAUCCUUAGCAGGCGGAGGAGAAAGUGAUUUCUGCCUUUUUUUGUUUGUUUGCAUGCAUUCGCUCUCUCAUUCUAGCACAGUUUUUUGCUCUCUCCCUUUCUCCCUUACUCACUUUGCGUAUCCUUUUCUCUCGCCUUAUCCUUUUUCGUAUGGGGGAAGGAAAAAAAGCCUUUUCCCUAGCUAGAAGGCUUUGUAUGCUGGGUUUGCGGUCGUCCGCUCCUUCGAAGGGCAUCGAGGCAGGCUCUGUUACUUUUUUGUCCUUUUAUUUCCCUCUCAUUCUCUCUCUCUCUCUCUCUCUCUCUCUUUCGCAGGGGAGAACUCCUGCCACAGUAAUUUCCGCUUGUUGUCUUCCCAACCGCGACCUUACCCAUUGCGCACCGCCGUCUAGCACACCAUCACGUCUGGUGACGGUUGGGGGAGGUGGGGAUGUCGAAUUUUUCCUUGCCGCCUUUUGGGGGGGGGG